rnacentral:rRNA from 1 species
AGUGAACGCUGGCGGUAGGCCUAACACAUGCAAGUCGAACGGCAGCACAGUAAGAGCUUGCUCUUACGGGUGGCGAGUGGCGGACGGGUGAGGAAUACAUCGGAAUCUACUUUUUCGUGGGGGAUAACGUAGGGAAACUUACGCUAAUACCGCAUACGACCUACGGGUGAAAGCAGGGGAUCUUCGGACCUUGCGCGAUUGAAUGAGCCGAUGUCGGAUUAGCUAGUUGGCGGGGUAAAGGCCCACCAAGGCGACGAUCCGUAGCUGGUCUGAGAGGAUGAUCAGCCACACUGGAACUGAGACACGGCCCAGACUCCUACGGGAGGCAGCAGUGGGGAAUAUUGGGCAAUGGGCGCAAGCCUGAUCCAGCCAUACCGCGUGGGUGAAGAAGGCCUUCGGGUUGUAAAGCCCUUUUGUUGGGAAAGAAAAGCAGCAGGUUAAUACCCCGCUGUUCUGACGGUACCCAAAGAAUAAGCACCGGCUAACUUCGUG